AUUGAACGCUGGCGGCAGGCCUAACACAUGCAAGUCGAGCGCGAAAGUUCUUCGGAAUGAGUAAAGCGGCGGACGGGUGAGUAAUACAUGGGAAUCUGCCUGGUAGUGGGGGACAACGUUUCGAAAGGAACGCUAAUACCGCAUACGCCCUACAGGGGAAAGGGGGGGAUCUUCGGACCUCUCGCUAUCAGAUGAGCCCA
rnacentral:rRNA from 1 species